AAGUCGUAACAAGGUCUCCGUAGGUGAACCUGCGGAGGGAUCAUCAAAGGAAAACUUUUAUGAAAAAGUGGUGGGGGGAGAGAGAGGGGGGAGAGAGAAAUCUCUUCCCCCCCCUCUCUCUUUCCUCUUUUUCUCAAACAAAUGAUCACAACUAUGUAAUAAGAGACAUUUGGAUUUGGGGGUUGGUGUGGGAUAAUCAAUCAAUCUCUCAAGAAGAGAGAGAGAAAAGACUUCUUGUGGCUUUUCUCCCCUCUCUCUUGGACAAAAAAAGUGCUUGCCUGAUAAUUGAUGGUUGGAAAAUUAAAAGAAAUACAACUUUCAACAACGGAUCUCUUGGCUCUCA
rnacentral:misc_RNA from 1 species